UACAGAGGGGGCAAGCGUUGUUCGGAAUUACUGGGCGUAAAGGGCGCGUAGGCGGCCUGUUAAGUCGAACGUGAAAUCCCCGGGCUCAACCCGGGAACUGCGUCCGAUACUGGCAGGCUUGAAUCCGGGAGAGGGAUGCGGAAUUCCAGGUGUAGCGGUGAAAUGCGUAGAUAUCUGGAGGAACACGGUGGCGAAGGCGGCAUCCUGGACCGGCAUUGACGCUGAGGC
rnacentral:rRNA from 1 species